rnacentral:lncRNA from 1 species
CCUGUCCCCAGCUCUUGCUUCCUCUCUUCACCCAUUUCUAACAGAGUUUUGGACACCCUUCCCCCAUGAAGAUCAGUGAUACGAAUUAACUGAAUUCCUCAGAGUCUGAAGUGCUGACUGACUGCAAGCCUUUCUGAGACUGGGAGUCCUGCCAUGCCACGAUGAGGUUAAGAUUUCCCCCACCAGUGCACACUCACCAGCCCUGAGGCACAGCUCCCUGCUCUGCUCCUGACAUGUGUUUCUCUGUGAACUUGGACGGUGCCUACCACGCUGGCAGGAAGCCACACCGGAGCUAACAGAGAGGCACGGGAACUCAGC